UUGACAAGGAAGAAGAGAGGAUCCCCGGGCCUCACGCCGUGGGAGGGCCACGCGGGCCGGGGACGUGUGGGAGGAACUCCCGAGCUGCACGUUGUGGUGGAGGUGGAUGACAACCUCGCUCCCCUCCCCUCCCCUCCACUCAGUGGAGGGCUGGGGACCGGAGGGCCCGGCCUCCCCCCAUCUUCUCCAGUUCUUAGGAAAGGAGGGAUUCCCGCCUCCCGCGAGCCCCCUCUCUCCACCCCCGCCGCCUCUCCCGCCAGGCUCCCCACUCCUAUACUAGGGAGCCACAGCGCCCCCCGGGCUGUCCUCCGCCAGCGCGGCUCAGGGAGGGAGAGCGCUGCAGCGGUCCCGCGCUCCGAUUCCGGUCCCAAGAUUUGCAUAUUUUGGCAUCCAGUGGAAAAGGAAAGAAGAACGGAACCCGCAGCCUUUAAAGGAACCGCACAGGCUGAUCUCUCCCCAGGAGGGGCUGCAGAGUGAGGAGCUAGAAGCCCUUAUCCUGUUCGACUGGGGCCUGAGUUGGGAAAGGCAGAGGCAGUGGAAGCAUUUGGGAUCCUUAAGCUUCCAGGGCCCCAGAGGCUGUGGAGUGCAGCCACUCCCAACUGGAGGAGACGGCCUCUCUCCCAACACUUUUCGGCACGCUGGACUUGUUGCUUCCAAGUAGAAGAGCAUGGGGCAAGGUUUGCUGACCUGCACCAGGGCUUGCUUACCCGUCAGCAAGAUUGGAUAGGAGUCUGGGGACACGAUUCCUUCCCUCUCCUUUCUACUAGUUCUUUGCAUAAAACGGGAGCCUUCAAUUCAAUUAAAGUCUUCAUUAAAGCUUCACUGUGACCUUGGGCAAA